CAACAGUCCUUUCACUCCUGCACAAGCAGGUGGCUCUCCCACGCGUGACAACUCAACAGAUAUCACAAGCCUCACUUUCUCAACCAUGCUGCACACCCCUCACAUCAUGGGGAAACCACUCCUGUGGCUGACACGGCUAGUAAACACAAGCUUAGCAGGGCAAAGAAAAAGGAAGACAGAUGCCCUUCCCUUCUGCUGCCCCCACAGACUGUCACCCUGA
rnacentral:lncRNA from 1 species